GGCCUGAUGGUCUAGUAGCAUGAUUCCUUGUUAGAGUUCCCUCCGGGCGCUUAUUUCUGAGCGCUUGUUUGGUGUCACUGUUUCGAGGAGGUCCCGGGCUCAAUUCCCGGUCAGGCCC